rnacentral:rRNA from 1 species
UAGGGAAUCUUCGGCAAUGGACGAAAGUCUGACCGAGCAACGCCGCGUGAGUGAAGAAGGUUUUCGGAUCGUAAAACUCUGUUGUUAGAGAAGAACAAGGACGUUAGUAACUGAACGUCCUCUGACGGUAUCUAACUAGAAAGCCACGGCUAACUACGUGCCAGCAGCCGCGGUAAUACGUAGGUGGCAAGCGUUGUCCGGAUUUAUUGGGCGUAAAGCGAGCGCAGGCGGUUUCUUAAGUCUGAUGUGAAAGCCCCCGGCUCAACCGGGGAGAGUCAUUAGAGACUGGGAGACUUGAGUGCAGAAGAAGAGAGUGGAAUUCCAUGUGUAGCGGUGAAAUGCGUAGAUAUAUGGAGGAACACCAGUGGCGAAGGCGGCUCUCUGGUCUGUAACUGACGCUGAGGCUCGAAAGCGUGGGGAGCAAACAGG